UUCCGGUUGAUCCUGCCGGAGGCUACCGCUAUUGGAGUUCGAUUAAGCCAUGCGAGUCGCGAGUCUUAGGGACUCGGCGUACCGCUCAGUAACACGUGGGUAACCUGCCCUAUGCUGGGGGAUAACCUCGGGAAACUGAGAAUAAUACCCCAUAGUUCACCACGCCUGGAACGGUGGGUGGAUGAAAGCUCCGGCGGCAUAGGAUGGGCCUGCGGCGUAUCAGGUUGUAGGGGGUGUAAUGUACCCUCUAGCCAUCUACGCGUACGGGUGUUGGGAGACAUCGCCCGGAGAUGGAUUCUGAGACACGAAUCCAGACCCUACGGGGUGCAGCAGGCGCGAAAACUUGGCAAUGCGAGCAAUCGUGACCAGGGAACUCCAAGUGCAUCGGGUAAGACCGAUGCUUUUCUUGACUCUUCAAAGGUCUUGGAAUAAGGGGUGGGUAAGGACGGUGCCAGCCGCCGCGGUAAUACCGGCGCCCCAAGUGGUAGUCGCUUUUAUUGGGCCUAAAACGUCCGUAGCCGGUCUGGUACAUUCGUGGGUAAAUCAACCAGCUCAACUGGUUGAAUUCUGCGAGCACGGCCAGACUUGGGACCGGGAGAGGUGUGGGGUACUCUCAGGGUAGGGGUAAAAUCCUGUCAUCCUGAGAGGACCACCUGUUGCGAAGGCGCCACACUAGAACGGAUCCGACGGUCAGGGACGAAGCCUAGGGGCACGAACCGGAUUAGAUACCCGGGUAGUCCUAGGUGUAAACGCUGUGGACUUGAUGUUGGGGGCGCUCCGAGCGCACUCAGUGUCGAAGCGAAGGUGAUAAGUCCACUGCCUGGGGAGUACGGUCGCAAGGCUGAAACUUAAAGGAAUUGGCGGGGGAGCACCGCAACCUGAGGAUUGUGCGGUUUAAUUGGAUUCAACGCCGGA
rnacentral:rRNA from 1 species